rnacentral:rRNA from 1 species
CACGUAGGGUGCGAGCGUUGUCCGGAAUUAUUGGGCGUAAAGAGCUCGUAGGCGGUGUGUCGCGUCGGCCGUGAAAACCUGUGGCUUAACCAUGGGCUUGCGGUCGAUACGGGCAUCACUGGAGUUCGGCAGGGGAGACUGGAACUCCUGGUGUAGCGGUGAAAUGCGCAGAUAUCAGGAGGAACACCGGUGGCGAAGGCGGGUCUCUGGGCCGAUACUGACGCUGGAGGAGCGAAA